rnacentral:rRNA from 1 species
AGCAUGAUGAAGGCCAGGCAGAAGACCUUGCCUGAUCCGCUGAGAGGUGGUGCAUGGCCGUCGUCAGUUCGUACUGUGAAGCAUCCUGUUAAGUCAGGCAACGAGCGAGACCCACGCCCACAGUUGCCAGCGAGCCCUUCGGGGUGGCGGGUACUCUGUGGGGACCGCCGCUGCUAAAGCGGAGGAAGGAAUGGGCAACGGUAGGUCAGUAUGCCCCGAAUCUCCCGGGCUACACGCGGGCUACAAUGGUCGGUACAAUGGGUAUCUACCCCGAGAGGGGAUGGAAAUCUCCUAAAACCGGUCGUAGUUCGGAUUGAGGGCUGCAACUCGCCCUCAUGAAGCUGGAAUCCGUAGUAAUCGCGUUUCAACAGAACGCGGUGAAUACGUCCCUGCUCCUUGCACACACCGCCCGUCAAACCACCCGAGUAGGGUCUGGAUAAGGGUGCGCCAUGUUGACGCAUUCGAAUCUGGGCUUUGCAAGGGGGGUUAAGUCGUAACAAGGUAACCAAGGGCGAAU